rnacentral:rRNA from 1 species
UACAGAGGUCUCAAGCGUUGUUCGGAAUUACUGGGCGUAAAGCGCACGUAGGCGGCUUUCUAAGUCGGGGGUGAAAUCCUGGAGCUCAACUCCAGAACUGCCUUCGAUACUGGAGAGCUCGAGUCCGGGAGAGGUGAGUGGAACUGCGAGUGUAGAGGUGAAAUUCGUAGAUAUUCGCAAGAACACCAGUGGCGAAGGCGGCUCACUGGCCCGGUACUGACGCUGAGGUGCGAAAGCGUGGGGAGCAAACAGG